GCCGGCAUAGCUCAGUAGGUAGAGCAAUUGGUUCGUAACUAGGAGGUCGCCUGUUCGAUUCAGGCUGUCGGCACCA
rnacentral:tRNA from 1 species